rnacentral:rRNA from 1 species
CAAGUCGAACGCGAAAGUCCCCUUCGGGGGGCAAGUAGAGUGGCGCACGGGUGAGUAACACGUAGGUAAUCUACCUUUGGAUUGGGAAUAACAACCGGAAACGGUUGCUAAUACCGAAUAAUGCAGCGGCACCUAAUGGUGACAGUUGUUAAAGCGGGGGAUCGCAAGACCUCGCGUCUGAAGAGGAGCCUGCGGCAGAUUAGCUAGUUGGUAAGGUAACGGCUUACCAAGGCGAUGAUCUGUAGCCGGCCUGAGAGGGCGGUCGGCCACACUGACACUGACAUACGGGUCAGACUCCUACGGGAGGCAGCAGUCGGGAAUUUUGGGCAAUGGGCGCAAGCCUGACCCAGCAACGCCGCGUGAAGGAUGAAAUCCUUCGGGAUGUAAACUUCGCAAGAACGGGAAGAAUAAGUAAGAGUUAAUAUCUCUUACGAUGACGGUACUGUUUGUAAGCUCCGGCUAACUCCGUGCCAGCAGCCGCGGUAAUACGGGGGGAGCAAGCGUUGUUCGGAUUUACUGGGCGUAAAGGGCGCGUAGGCGGCCACCGCAAGUCGACUGUGAAAUCUCCGGGCUUAACCCGGAAAGGUCAGCCGAUACUGCGGGGCUAGAGUGCAGAAGGGGCAACUGGAAUUCUCGGUGUAGCGGUGAAAUGCGUAGAUAUCGAGAGGAACACCUGCGGCGAAGGCGGGUUGCUGGGCUGACACUGACGCUGAGGCGCGAAAGCUAGGGGAGCGAACGGGAUUAGAUACCCCGGUAGUCCUAGCCUUAAACGAUGAAUGCUUGGUGUCUGGGGUUUUAUAGUCCCCGGGUGCCGUCGCUAACGCUUUAAGCAUUCCGCCUGGGGAGUACGGUCGCAAGACUGAAACUCAAAGGAAUUGACGGGGGACCCGCACAAGCGGUGGAG